rnacentral:rRNA from 1 species
UAAGACGUAGGGCGCGAGCGUUGUCCGGAUUUAUUGGGCGUAAAGAGCUCGUAGGCGGCUUGUCGCGUCGACCGUGAAAACUUGGGGCUCAACCCCAAGCCUGCGGUCGAUACGGGCAGGCUCGAGUUCGGUAGGGGAGACUGGAAUUCCUGGUGUAGCGGUGAAAUGCGCAGAUAUCAGGAGGAACACCGAUGGCGAAGGCAGGUCUCUGGGCCGAUACUGACGCUGAGGAGCGAAAGCGUGGGGAGCGAACAGGAUUAGAUACCCUGGUAGUCCACGCUGUAAACGUUGGGCGCUAGGUGUGGGGGACCUCUCCGGUUCUCUGUGCCGCAGCUAACGCAUUAAGCGCCCCGCCUGGGGAGUACGGCCGCAAGGCUA